rnacentral:rRNA from 1 species
AGCCAGACUCCUACGGGAGGCAGCAGUGGGGAAUAUUGCACAAUGGGGGAAACCCUGAUGCAGCGACGCCGCGUGAGCGAUGAAGUAUUUCGGUAUGUAAAGCUCUAUCAGCAGGGAAGAAGAUGACGGUACCUGACUAAGAAGCCCCGGCUAACUACGUGCCAGCAGCCGCGGUAAUACGUAGGGGGCAAGCGUUAUCCGGAUUUACUGGGUGUAAAGGGAGCGUAGACGGCGAUGCAAGCCAGAUGUGAAAGCCCGGGGCUCAACCCCGGGACUGCAUUUGGAACUGUGUGGCUGGAGUGUCGGAGAGGCAGGCGGAAUUCCUAGUGUAGCGGUGAAAUGCGUAGAUAUUAGGCGGAACACCAGUGGCGAAGGCGGCCUGCUGGACGAUGACUGACGUUGAGGCUCGAAAGCGUGGGGAGCAAACAGGAUUAGAUACCCGCGUA